GACGAACGCUGGCGGCGUGCUUAACACAUGCAAGUCGAACGGUAAGGCCCUUCGGGGUACACGAGUGGCGAACGGGUGAGUAACACGUGGGUGAUCUGCCCUGCACUUCGGGAUAAGCCUGGGAAACUGGGUCUAAUAACCGGAUAGGACCAUGGACUUCACGGUUUGUGGUGGAAAGCUUUUGCGGUGUGGGAUGGGCCCGCGGCCUAAUCAGCUUGUUGGUGGGGUAAUGGCCUACCAAGGCGACGACGGGUAGCCGGCCUGAGAGGGUGUCCGGCCACACUGGGACUGAGAUACGGCCCAGACUCCUACGGGAGGCAGCAGUGGGGAAUAUUGCAC
rnacentral:rRNA from 1 species